GGCCAGACUCCUACGGGAGGCAGCAGUGGGGAAUAUUGCACAAUGGGGGAAACCCUGAUGCAGCAACGCCGCGUGAGUGAGGAAGUCUUUCGGUAUGUAAAGCCCUAUCGGCAGGGAAGAAGCAAGACGGUACCUGACUAAGAAGCCCCGGCUAACUACGUGCCAGCAGCCGCGGUAAUACGUAGGGGGCGAGCGUUAUCCGGAUUCACUGGGUGUAAAGGGAGCGUAGACGGCCAAGCAAGCCAGGGGUGAAAGCCCGGGGCCCAACCCCGGGACUGCCCUUGGAACUGCUUGGCUGGAGUGCGGGAGGGGCAGGCGGAAUUCCUGGGGUAGCGGUGAAAUGCGUAGAUAUUAGGAGGAACACCAGUGGCGAAGGCGGCUUACUGGACUGUAACUGACGUUGAGGCUCGAAAGCGUGGGGAGCAAACAGGAUUAGAUACCCUCGUAC
rnacentral:rRNA from 1 species